rnacentral:misc_RNA from 1 species
UAAAGUGAUCUGAAACGUUGUUUAGCUUGUGGAUAUGUGAUUGACGGUUUAGAUUAUUGCACGAUUCGAUGGAUGUGACACUGACAUCAUGGCUCAGGAAUAUCAUGCAUGAUGCAUGAAUUUCCUAAUUCAUUAUAAUCCUAAAUUCAUCCACUAAAUAGUAUUAUAUUGCUCUGUUUUUUUCGUUUUGAUUAUUCGAAAAUUUCACUCAACUCAAAUUAGCUAAUACAAUCUCAUACACCUACUUAUUUUAAUUAAUUUGAAUAAUUGUGUGUCACUUUUCCAGAAAAACCGAAUACAGUAUACUUUUAGCAAUCCAAACAAAUUUAAUUUAGCAAAGUGGGUGUCGUCAGUUUGAAGUCAAAUUGGAAAACUUGUUGUCCUCUUUUGGAUGAAUCCAACAGACGACGAUACAGAUGAGAGAAGCAAAA